AACCAAUGUUGUGGAUACUUUCGCAAGAGAUCCUUGAAUUGUUCCCAUGUCUCAAAUAACGAUUCUAACUCCAUCUGAACAUAUAAAGAGAUCUCAUUAUGAAGCUU